CUCUUCCACCUGUUGGGGACUGAUGAAAUGGAUAUGCGCAUCAAUUCCUCCUGCCGUCACGAUGAGUCCCUCCCCGGCGAUCACCUCGGUCGAAGCCCCCACCACGAGGGAUUCAUGGACCCCCUCCAUGGUAUCCGGAUUUCCUCCCUUUCCAAUUCCCACGAUUCUUCCAUCUUUCACCCCGAUAUCCGCUUUCACAAUCCCCCAAUGAUCUAAAAUGAUCGCAUUGGUAAUCAAAAGAUCAACCACGCCUUCGCUGCGGGUAAGACGGCUGUUCUGUCCCAUGCCGUCCCGGAG
rnacentral:sRNA from 1 species